AAAGUCGUGCACGCCCGGGUGUUUCCCCUCACAUAAUAAUCCAUCUCACCCUUUGUGCAUCACCGCGUGGGCACCCUUUGGGAUCAUCUCGGAGGGGGCUCGCGUUUUCACACAAACCCCCCUUAUAAAAAGUGUAGAAUGACCUCAUUUAUGCGCUAACCCGCAAUCAAUACAACUUUCAACAACGGAUCUCUUGGCUCUCGCAUCGAUGAAGAACGCAGCGAAAUGCGAUACGUAAUGUGAAUUGCAGAAUUCAGUGAAUCAUCGAAUCUUUGAACGCACCUUGCGCCCCUUGGUAUUCCGAGGGGCACACCCGUUUGAGUGUCGUGAAAACCUCAACCUCCUUAGGUUUCUUCUGGAGACCAAAGCAGGCUUGGACUUUGGAGGCCUCUGCUGGCACCCUCUUUUUGGAGGCCAGCUCCUCUUAAACAAAUUAGCAGGGUCCUCUUUGCCGAUCCUUGACGUGUGAUAAGAUGUUUCCAUGUCUUGGUUUCUGGCUCUGUCACUUUUGGGACCCGCUUCUAAUUGUCUGGACCUUGCGUCGAGACAAUGUUCGAGCACGGGAAUCUCCCCUCGACCUCACGAACCCUUGACCUCAAAUCGGGUGAGACUACCCGCUGA
rnacentral:rRNA from 1 species